rnacentral:rRNA from 1 species
AAUGGGCGAAAGCCUGACGGAGCAACGCCGCGUGAGGGAUGAAGGCCUCUGGGCUGUAAACCUCUUUUAUCAAGGAAGAAGAUCUGACGGUACUUGAUGAAUAAGCCACGGCUAAUUCCGUGCCAGCAGCCGCGGUAAUACGGGAGUGGCAAGCGUUAUCCGGAAUUAUUGGGCGUAAAGCGUCCGCAGGCGGCCCUUCAAGUCUGCUGUUAAAAAGUGGAGCUUAACUCCAUCAUGGCAGUGGAAACUGUUGGGCUUGAGUGUGGUAGGGGCAGAGGGAAUUCCCGGUGUAGCGGUGAAAUGUGUAGAUAUCGGGAAGAACACCAGUGGCGAAGGCGCUCUGCUGGGCCAUCACUGACGCUCAUGGACGAAAGCCAGGGGAGCGAAAGGGAUU